rnacentral:tRNA from 1 species
GGGUGAGCUGGGCACUGGUGAGCCCAAGGGCCUGUAAAGCCCCCGCUUCGGCUGUGACGGUUCGACUCCGUCCUCGCCCACC